GACGAACGCUGGCGGCGUGCUUCACACAUGCAAGUCGAACGGUGAAGCGCCUUCCUUUUUGGUGGGUGUGGUUGAGUGGCGAACGGGUGAGUAACACGUGAGUAACCUGCCCCCUUCUUCUGGAUAACCGCAUGAAAGUGUGGCUAAUACGGGAUAUUCUGGGUCUGUCGCAUGAUGGGUCUGGGAAAGAUAUUGUUUCGGUGGGGGAUGGGCUCGCGGCCUAUCAGCUGGUUGGUGGGGUGAUGGCCUACCACGGCGGUGACGGGUAGCCGGCCUGAGAGGGUGGACGGUCACACAGGGUAUGAGACACGGCCCAGACUCCUACGGGAGGCAGCAGUGGAGAAUAGUGCACAGUGGGCGCAAGCCUGAUGCAGCGACGCCGCGUGAGGGAUGGAGGCCUUCGGGUUGUGAACCUCUUUCGCCAGUGAAGCAGGCCUGCCUCGUUUGUGGGUGGGUUGACGGUAGCUGGAUAAGAAGCGCCGGCUAACUACGUG
rnacentral:rRNA from 1 species